rnacentral:rRNA from 2 species
AACGGCGAGUGAAGCGGCAACAGCUCAAAUUUGAAAUCUGGCCUCGGCCCGAGUUGUAAUUUGCAGAGGAUGCUUCCGGCGACGUGCCUUCCGAGUCCCCUGGAACGGGGCGCCUGAGAGGGUGAGAGCCCCGUACGGCUGGACGCCGAGCCUGUGUGAAGCUCCUUCGACGAGUCGAGUAGUUUGGGAAUGCUGCUCUAAAUGGGAGGUAAAUUCCUUCUAAAGCUAAAUACCGGCCAGAGACCGAUAGCGCACAAGUAGAGUGAUCGAAAGAUGAAAAGCACUUUGGAAAGAGGGUUAAACAGUACGUGAAAUUGCUGAAAGGGAAGCGCUCGCGACCAGACUCGCGCCGGGCGGAUCAUCCAGCGUUCUCGCUGGUGCACUUCGCCCGGCCCGGGCCAGCAUCGGUUCUAGCGGGGGGACAAAAGCCCGGGAAACGUAGCUCCCUCCGGGGAGUGUUAUAGUCCCUCGCCUAAUAUCCCCGCCGGGACCGAGGACCGCGCCUCGUGCAAGGAUGCUGGCGUAAUGGUCGCCAGCGACCCGUCUUGAAACACGGACCAAGGAGUCGAACAUUCGUGCGAGUGUUUGGGUGGAAACCCCUCACGCGUAAUGAAAGUGAACGGAGGUGGGAGCUUCGGCGCACCAUCGACCGAUCCUGAAGCUUGUCGGAUGGAUUUGAGUGGGAGCAUGACUGUUCGGACCCGAAAGAUGGUGAACUAUGCCUGCGUAGGGUGAAGCCAGAGGAAACUCUGGUGGAGGCUCGCAGCGGUUCUGACGUGCAAAUCGAUCGUCAAACGUGGGCAUGGGGGCGAAAGACUAAUCGAACCAUCUAGU